rnacentral:lncRNA from 12 species
AAUGGUAAACCUUGACAAAUUUUGAAUUCCAUGAAGAGAAGAGUGAAGGAAAGGAUGUGUCCCCUGGUAUAACGGCUCUAAAGGAGACUCUCAACAUCUACAAUGGUGGUGUUUUAUAGACACAGAAACCCAAGGAACCUGUGGUAAGUGACCUGGGGAGCAGGAAAAGCAAACAGGUUUGUGGAGACCCAAGGAGAAGG